AGGAAUUGUACAUUAUAGUCAAGGCCAUGAUACAAAAAAAAGCGUACAAGACGAUAAACAUGUCCUCAGCGAAAGACACAAACUAAUGUAUAAUGUGUAAUAUGAAACUAUGAACCUGAAAUUGAAAUAACAAUAUACAAUAACAAUGAAGGGAUUCACACACUGGAAAACAAUAUUAAAUGCAUAUUUGCAAUUGUAUAUUUAACUACACCCUGAGACAGCACAUAUAAGGCAUCGUGUCCACCAUAAUGUUAUUGUUUUUCACCCAAUAUUGUUGCCUUUUUUUAACUAAUAGAAUUCCUUUUACUUAUGUUCCGAGUGCAAUGAGCUCAAUUGGACAGCAGAUGGCAGUAGCGUCACGGCGCUCCUGGAGACGUGAAGAAGAGGACCGCGACACUUAAACAAACGCAGGUCACAUGACUGGAAGGCACCAGUUGUUUCAAUGAAAAACAAAAUGGAGGAAACCAAACAGAACUCCCCUAAAAUGAAAUGACUUGUAAGAUAGUCAGCUCUAAGUUUUUUUUUUUUCUUUUUUAAGAAGAAUACGUUGAAAGAAAGGCACCACUCACCCCAGCGACCAAACCGCCCCAAACAGCCCAGACACCAUUCCCAGGGUGCUUAGUCCUUCUUGAAAUCCUUGCUCGCUGUAUCAAACGGGGGAGAGCUGACUUGGAGUCUUAUUUACGUCUUCAAGUGUGCAGAUAGAGACACCCGUGCUGCACUGGAAGAUACCUUGCAGGUUGGGGGCAUUUUUCCUUCUAUUUUGUCAUGGCAACUGUAUAUCACCGGAGUUGCCUGCUUAGCUAAACAUAACACAUUGUUUUAUUCUUUGUUUCCUUUGUUAUACUUUUAUCUUUUUUCCAAUAAAUGUGUUUGGUCCCUGCAGAGGACCACUUUGGCAACCACUCAAAUACUCGGAUAUGUGUCCAUCAAACUGCCUUUGCUCCUUAUUGAGAAAAAUAAUUACAUUUUAUCAUAAGCUUCAGUUUAUUCUGCAGAUUCAGGGGCUUUUUCAGGGUUUUUUUUUUGCAGCUUCUCAAAAAAAAAAAAAUAUGAAUUUAGACCAAGUCAGAUAAUAAGAGAAAAAACACUGGUUGUUUUUAGUCAGUAACACUUUCUCCUUGAAUUUCUGUCAUGUAGUAUGCAAUAUAAUCGGUCAGUCUCAAAGGUCAUAAAAAACAAAAUGACAACCGUCAUUGUGUUUUGUGAGUUAUUAAACUGAUGACAGUUUAUGAUUAACCUUCCAUCGCCCUCUGAGACAAAAGGCGGUGACACGCCUUCUUCUGUAGGUCACAGGUGUAAAGGCACGGAUAAUAAUCUGCAGAUGUGCCACUGUUUUACAAGACUUGAUAAGAUGCUUGCUAAAAAAGCAAUGUGCUCUGAACUGGUCACUAAAUUAUAACAGGUAAAUCUGAUGUUUGAUCAAAACGGAUGUUAAGUAAAGGAAAUCCUUGAAACCAGAUUGUCAGCAAAUGAGAACCAAUCUUUAAAAAUAAAAAUAAAGAUAACAUUUCUUCGUCACUCACCUGGGGAUGCCCAGGAAGGGUGCGGGACCAAGUAGAACAAAACUUAGUGCUAUGCAGAGUCCUCCGAUGACCACAAACCAAGCCCGCAGGACCUGUUCAUCAGCAAGAUAAAUAAACAUUGCUACCCUUGAAAACAACUCAGAGUAAUUAUACAAUGUAUUGUGUAUUAUACAAUGAGUACAAGUAACAUCUUGUGUUCAUUGUACAAUACACAAUGUGUGAGAGAAAAUCUCCUGGCCUGCAUGACAACAUGUGCAACAGGUCUUGAGCAUUAAGUUAUCUUGUUUAUUAAACAGUUGAAAUAUUUACACUAAUAAACUUUCACUCCUGGCCUUUCAUUCUUCAGUUUUCUGCCACUUUAUAAGCACAGAGUUUUUAGCUGGUGUGGUAGGACUGAGCAGCCCUCUUCCUCAAUGACAGCACUCACGCUAAAAUACAUGAAACAAUACUGCACAAAUAGCCUUCUAACAAAAAAUCUAAACACUAAACGCACUACAAAAACUGUACCAAAAAGCCAAACCAAUUCAAUAUGACAGGGCGGAGACAAGGGGUGGCCAUGUGCUGUAGUGCAAAAUGUAUUUAGUUUUGGGGUAUUAUUUAUUUGAAAACAGCUCUGUGGUGAUGAAGGUUGGGUUGCAGGGGCUGACUAUCAUAGCUGACUAUGAGUUAGAGCGAGUCUGCUUGCACAGUUAUCCAGUGCGAAAUGAUUGUCAGUGAUUGACAAGCAGCAUGUAAACAUUCAUCAGUCAUGAGGUUAAUCUGUGUGUUUUUUCCUCUUUUCCUUAGGACUGUGUUCAGGGCAGACCAGGACACACAAUACAAAUUUUGUCUUGUUUUCGAUGUACUCUCCUUAAAAUCUUUUUUUUUCUAAAAUCGCUGGCAAAAUUCCAUCAUAGGUGGUGCCCAUACUGCAAGGGAGAGCCAUGUAUCUGUUGCAUUGCAAAGUCAAAGGUUUCAGGACACAUCUUAAAACUCACAGGAUAUUUGUCGGUGAAGUAGCCCAUCACUGGUGAGCCGAGACAGUAUGGGAGGGACAGCCCAAGCAUGAUGAGUCCAACAUAUCCUGGUGAGAGAUUAAACUAGGUAGAAAGGGGGGAGAAAAUGUCAUGGAAAUAGACGGGCAUCAUAGGUGGAGUGAGCUGUAAGACUGAUCUUACUUUAUCCAUGGCAAACAGGGACAAUGUUGCAUCCAAGAAUCCCAGGCUGGAACUCAGAGUGAAUAUCACGUAGCAGAUCAAUAAUAUUUUAACGUGGGUGAGCAGACGGAAGAAUGAAUCCUUGGAAGGAUCUGCCUCUGUGUGAAAGGAAGUACACCCAUCAUCAGCUUGUAAGAGGUGAAUCAUGAGUCACUUCUGACACGAACCGAUGGUUGGUAGAAUGUAGAUGUUGAAGGGAACCAUGACCAAGAGGAAACAACCAAGUAGCAUGAAGGGAACUUCGUAUCCAAAGGCCUGGUAGAACCAUCCUCCCACCGGUGGCCCCAGGAUGAGACCUAGUCCUGUGAAGAUCUCCAGACUACCCUGAAACAUAAAGUCAGUUGAACACACAUCUAGACGUUCAAUUGAAAAGACAGCUGUUGAGAUGUUUUCCGAGAGAUUUAUGAUAGCAAAACAGGUCACAUGGGUCUCAGAUAGUAGAGGUUGGAGACCCCUGAGGUAUACGAGGGUCAUGUGUUCAAAACAAGUCACUCACAACAAUGCUUUUAAAGCUGUGCGCGUGAUUUGAAUGGCGAAACAACAUGCCAGUCAGACCUGUUGUCUACACUCACCAAGACAGUGGCCACAUUGUUGGGGAAGAUUUUUGCCGUGUGAGCAAAGGAGGAGGUCAUUGCAGCGGCAAAGCCCACAGCAUCUACAGACCGGACUAUGAAGCACAGUGUGAUGAAAGCAGGUCCUGAGGGGACCCUGUCCAGGAGCCUGUGGAAGAAAGGAUUAAAAAAAACAUGAACUGGACAUAAACGUCAUUGGUGAGAGUUGAGGACUAAGAUCUUGUGUGGUGGAUGAAACCAAAUGGGGAGAUGGGACCAAACCAAGACCAGGAUAAAACAGCAGUCAGAACACAGAAGCAAAUCAUUUACAAAAAAAUCCACAUUCAGCUCAACUGAGACAGGAUAGUGAGGAUAAAUGCAGCCGACUCCGAGACAAGAACAAGCCCUAGAAAAUGUGGUUUCAUGACGCCACA